rnacentral:rRNA from 1 species
AGUGAACGCUGGCGGUAGGCCUAACACAUGCCAGUCGAACGGCAGCACAGUAAGAGCUUGCUCUUACGGGUGGCGAGUGGCGGACGGGUGAGGAAUACAUCGGAAUCUACUUUUUCGUGGGGGUUAACGUAGGGAAACUUACGCUAAUACCGCAUACGACCUACGGGUGAAAGCAGGGGAUCUUCGGACCUUGCGCGAUUGAAUGAGCCGAUGUCGGAUUAGCUAGUUGGCGGGGUAAAGGCCCACCAAGGCGACGAUCCGUAGCUGGUCUGAGAGGAUGAUCAGCCACACUGGCACUGAGACACGGUCCAGACUCCUACGGGAUGCAGCAGUGGGGAAUAUUGGCUAAUGGGCGCAAGCCUGAUCCAGCCAUACCGCGUGGGUGAAGAAGGCCUUCGGGUUGUAAAGCCCUUUUGUUGGGAAAGAAAAGCAGCAGGCUAAUACCCCGCUGUUCUGACGGUACCCAAAGAAUAAGCACCGGCUAACUUCGUG